rnacentral:rRNA from 1 species
GACAUGGGCGAAGCCUGAUCCAGCCAUGCCGCGUGUGUGAAGAAGGUCUUCGGAUUGUAAAGCACUUUAAGUUGGGAGGAAGGGCAGUAAGUUAAUACCUUGCUGUUUUGACGUUACCAACAGAAUAAGCACCGGCUAACUUCGUGCCAGCAGCCGCGGUAAUACGAAGGGUGCAAGCGUUAAUCGGAAUUACUGGGCAUAAAGCGCGCGUAGGUGGUUCAGCAAGUUGGAGGUGAAAUCCCCGGGCUCAACCUGGGAACUGCCUCCAAAACUACUGAGCUAGAGUACGGUAGAGGGUAGUGGAAUUUCCUG